rnacentral:rRNA from 1 species
UACAGAGAGUGCAAGCGUUAAUCGGAAUUACUGGGCGUAAAGCGCGCGUAGGUGGAUAUUUAAGUCGGAUGUGAAAGCCCUGGGCUUAACCUAGGAAUUGCAUUCGAUACUGGAUAUCUAGAGUAUGGUAGAGGGAAGUGGAAUUUCCGGUGUAGCGGUGAAAUGCGUAGAUAUCGGAAAGAACACCAGUGGCGAAGGCGGCUUCCUGGACCAAUACUGACACUGAAGUGCGAAAGCGUGGGGAGCAAACAGG